rnacentral:lncRNA from 1 species
AUUAAUCUGUGGCAUGCCUGCAGCAUGACAAAUAUAUGAGUUCUAAAUGUUCCAACUCCUUGAAUGGAGAUUAUCCACCCCUACUAUAAAAUAACGCUCUAUUGAGGUUAAGAUCUACAUUCUCACAUAAUGAAAUAAGAGAUGUCUGUCUGGAAAGAGACAAUAAAGCCCCUUAAGUGGCUUGGGUACCCAAAAACAAAGAAAUGUUCAUAAUUGAUGCAUGCGCAUGCACAUGAGAAUGGUGGGAUCACGAAUUGAUGAAUGAUAAUUUUUGGUUUUGGAGUAGCUACUCAAAUCAUCAAUGGACUGUGUUGAUUGGAACCACUUUCUAUUAUCAAAUGUCGACAAUAUCAUUGGCCAAAAAUAGAAAGAGGCAAUUCCAUUACAGAUGAGAAUGAAU